CCUACGGGUGGCUGCAGUGGGGAAUAUUGGACAAUGGGCGCAAGCCUGAUCCAGCCAUGCCGCGUGGGUGAAGAAGGCCUUCGGGUUGUAAAGCCCUUUUGUCCGGAAAGAAAAGUCCUGGGUUAAUACCUUGGGAUCAUGACGGUACCGGAAGAAUAAGCACCGGCUAACUUCGUGCCAGCAGCCGCGGUAAUACGAAGGGUGCAAGCGUUACUCGGAAUUACUGGGCGUAAAGCGUGCGUAGGUGGUUUGUUAAGUCUGAUGUGAAAGCCCUG
rnacentral:rRNA from 1 species